rfam:Schistosoma rodhaini strain Burundi genome assembly, scaffold: SROB_scaffold0004615
AUCCAUCUGACGAGUGCCAAAUAGGACGAAACGCUCGUCCUGGAU